UGGGGGUGGCGGUGGCGGUUCCUUGAUGACCUGAAACACACACACACACAGGCCUGUCAGUGUCUGCAAGCUUUGUCCCCCAUCUACAUACAACCUUUUCACUCAUUGAAACAGUCCGGCUCAUCAACUUCAUCUCUUCAAAAGUUUCGUGGUUCAUACUUACACAGCGGGUGCUGGUGAUGCUGACGGAACUGGAGAUGAACGUCAGUCCGCUGUUCAUGCUAACUUGCAGGUACAGGAGUGCCUUACAGGAACCAUCCGUUGUCCUUUAAUGCAAUGGAAGAAUCAAACUCCAUUUGUAGAAGAACGUUAUUAUUUUUUUGAAAAUUACCUGAGUUUCGUUAAAGUCUU